ensembl:lncRNA
GAACAAGUCCUAAGUAUUGUGGUUAAAAACAAGCAAAGGGAAUCAAGGGAAGAGACGUGGAGUAUGAGCAGGAUCAGGUGGUCAGGGUGGGUCUCCUUGCAAAGAUGAGAAUCAGAGUCUAAGUAGCUGAGGAAGGAAGCCGUGUGGACACUGGAGGCAGGAGCGUCCAGCGACCAUCAGUUCAGAGGGGCCAAAGCAGGAGUGGCCCGGUGCGCUUGAAGGACAGUGUGCAGACCAGGGAGGCAGUGGGCAGAAGCCGAGAUGAUCAGGGAAGGUGGCAGGCACACCAGCCCUGGAUGCUUCAUCCCUUGAGAGAGAAGGAAACUCCGACCGCCCUACAGAGUCUCAGGAAGCCAGGAAACGCAGCUGGUGAGCCAGGAAAGGCGGCUGGUGAGCAGAGACGCUUCUGAUCCCAGUUGCAAAAAACACAUGUGCCAUGAGUUUUAUUUAAAUAACACAGGAGUCCACCGUGGAAGAGCAAAGAGAACAUCAACAGAAAAUGUCUCCAGACACGAUAACUUGGAGGGAACGGUUCCAGAAUAUUUCCUUUUUGAUUAUCAAGGGUUGGGUGUGGUGGUGACCACACGGGGUUAGCAGGAACAAGCUCGGUGUGGAAACGUGAUGCUUGGUGGAAGCGUUGUCCCUCCACUCGACCUCCACCAAGACACAGACACACACACAGACUCAAAUAUACUACUUAAGACAAUCGUACAUGUGUUUUUUCUCUUUGUUCUUGGUGAGUCAGCAAUGCCCACACAAGUUGAACUGAUUAGUCAAAACCAGAUAAGGAACGGAAGAUUAACCUUUCAGGGCGUUCACAGUGACUUUGGGAGGUAAAUAUUGUUAAAAGUGGUGUGACUUUAUACCUUUUGUGGAGCCUCCAGGUGGUACAUAGAAUCAGUUAUUCUCAUCACUAACAAGGAAAGUCCUCUCCCCUAAAGUGCUAAGCAUAUUGAGAUUAAAUCUGAGAGAAAUGCAUGCCACCCCGUUCAAAAGAUGAGAGGAAAAGAAACAUGUUAUGUAUGAUUUUCCUUCAGCUAAGACCACUUUCUUCAUCUGCAAAAUAGCAGGGUUGGAUUUGAUCAGCGCUUUUUUUUUUCCCUUUGAUUUUUUAAAUGCAACUUUGGAACCGUUUCCCAAAUGGAAAUACUGCCCUUAAACUGAAUGGAAAGGUGGCAGUUUUAACAUACGGCCUCAGGGUCUUUGGCAGUAUUUUCAUUGAGGUUAGGGUCUGUGUCCUCUUCCCUUGAGUGUGAGCAGGUUUGUGAUAGCUUCGCCGUCAAAAUAUGGUGGAAGAGACCCUGGGCGACUGCUGAGGCAGAGUCAUAAAGCCCGUGCAGCUUCCGGCUUCUGCUCUGGGACCCUUGCUUUAGAGGCCGUGACCACGGAGGGGGAAGAAGCUCCAUUACGCUGCUGCCGCCACGCUGUGUGGAGGCCCAGGCCACCUGCAGGGGGCUCUGCGGAGACGCUGGUGCACGGUCCCCGUCAGCAGUCCUGGUCCAGGCUCUGGGAUCCCACCCCGCAUCCGCUGGGCUCACUCUCCGCUGUGCAGUUCUCAGCUGAGGCCCCACACACCAGAGACCAGGCGCAUCCCGUCCCUGCUCCGCCCUGUCUGAAUCCACCAGACUCAGAAUCUGUGAGGAUCAUAAACUUGGUGGGUAUUUUAAAAGUUAUGUUGACUUUUGAGGUGGGAUAGUUAAGAUGCAGUGUAUGACCAAAACAAAAUUACAGAGGUUAUAUUGGAGUUUUUCAGGCUGAAGUCAAGGACCUGUGGAAUUCUGGAAACUGCUCCCCUGAGAACGCUUAUGAUAUCUGGCACCCAUGAGAGAAACAGGGCUAGUGGAAGCCUUUUGUGAGCUCACUGUAGCCUGUGUGACCUGAGCCAUAUUCCAAAUAUUUCAAAAUGUUGACUGUUAAAGUAAUUAGCCUCCAAGUAAAAUAAAUAAAUUUAAAUUAAAAAAUACUAAGCAUUCCCUGGAAAUAGAGUUUGAUUCCAAAAGACCUUUGGUGAGAAAGCUCAACAUUUAACAUCCCAUGAUCUGAGGUUUUAGAAGGCACAAUUCUACAUGGGUGGUUUGGGGUACCUUUGAGGCCUCUUCUUACUGUUGUGGAAAUUUCCACUUUGUUAUUGACUCCAUGUUUCAAUGUCAGUAGGAGAAUUUUAUCAAAUUUCUCUACGAAUUCGUUCACAUCCAGGGAAAUGGCACUGCCUUUAUUUAUAGCUUCCGCUUAGAAUUUAAUAUUUAGAAGAGUUCAGUGACAUUUUCAUAGUGAUAUGACAUGAGGGCAAUACAAUAUUACAGAAGCAGAGAAAGUUCAAAUGUACUUUGUUUCCACUGAUGACACCCAUAUGUCACAAGGGAGAAUGGUGAGCUGAUCAAUUAAAAUCAAGAAGAGCAAAAAUUAGACAGCCUCUGAAACAAAGCAAAACUGUAGAUUCCUCUUGGGACCCCAAAGCUCUUCUCUUGUUUCCUUUCACCCCUGGUGUGACAUAAAGUCUUCCUUCUCAGUUAUUGAGGCAGAAAAUAGCAUUGCUGAAAAUCCAGGAGACCAACAGUGGACCUUUUGGCUGUAUUUUUUCCUUUUUAAAAUUUAUCUAACAGCCCAAGGUGGGCUUGUCGUGGGGUGGCCCUAGUCAUAAAGAACCUGCCUGCCAGUGCAGGAGACAUAAGAGACGUGGGUUCUAUCCUUACAUCAGGAAGAUCCUGCAGAGAAGGGCAUGGCAAUCCUGGAGAAUCCCAUGGACAGAGGAGCCUGGCAGGCUAUGGUCCAUAGCGUUGCAGAGUUAGACAUGACUGAAGUGACUUAGCACACACGCAACAAACCAAGGCAUAUUUUGAAGAUGGGGGAGUGGUAUAGUGUUGGUGACAUGGGGGUAAAAGAUGGAUUGGACCAAAUAUGCUCCCUUUAGUUUUGUUGAGACGAUUUCUUUCAUUUUGUGUUUCAGUUUUCUGAGACUGUUUUAACUCAGUGCUUCCCAGUUUUUAUGUGCAUAACAGUCUUAUUUAGAUGAUGUUAAAAUGCAGAUUCUGACUCAGUAGACUGAGGCCUUGGUUUAGUGGGACCUACGAGUCCACAUUUCUAGUGAAUCUGAGAUGAUGCCUAGGGCCGCUCUUACAGUAGCGAGAUUGUCAAUAGCUAGUAGCAGAUCCUGGCAGCCGCAUGUGGCAGCCUUAACUCAGCCUUUCAUACAAGCAGUUGAAUUUCAAUGGAAAUGUAAAAUCGGUACAUAGGGCCAAAUUAUUCAAAUCAGUAAGUACUUGAACCUAGUCCUUAAGUGACUCUGGAACUUUCUUGUAAGGGACACACUUCUAAAAAUGAUAUUCUGAAAAUUUGGGCGUUGUUAUAGCUCACUCAAUUAUGAAUACUGAUUAUUUUAUUUCAUAUAAAAACUCAAGGCAGUGGCUCUGAGCAGGUACAAACUGAGAGUUUGCAUGUAAUUCUUCUUUAGCUGUGUUUUCCAGAAUCAAGGUGCGUGUUUCCCAGCAAUUAAAAAAAAUGGUUGUACUUCUUCCUAACUAUAUUCUGAAAGUGUUGUCACUGAUUUAAGAUUUUAAUGCAGAUGUGGUUUUGACAUUUUAUUUUCCAAGACAAUUUGACAUGGCAGGUAUAAUUCUUGGAUGGAUCAUCAAAGGAACAGUCACCCAAUAGAAUCUUCUAAUAGGGUAGAAUUAUUAGCAUAUAUAAAGGUUUGUAGAUCAUAGGAACAGGGUUCUGAGCCAGUGCAACUUUUUUCUCCCUCAAGGAAGAUGAGCAGUAGUUUGACAAUUUUGAUUGAUAUCAUAUGAAUGAGUAGCAUUUGAAACGUAGUUGUAUUUCAUAGAGGCUUACUUUUUCCUGAAAUACGAUGAAUAAAGAGAUGUGAACUAAGGUUAUGGUAAUCUGACUUUCAGAAAGGUUAGUGUGCAUGACAGCAAAAGGUUUUUUAAAAUUUCCCUUGGUUUUCAUGAAUCUACUCAUACAGGCACUAGAGCGUGUAUAGGAUCUUUCCAGUAGGAGGUUGGAGGAGACUGGCUGAAAAAUCCAGUGUCUGAAACACCUGGGAUGUUGAGCAACAGAUGAAUCCCAGAGCCAACCUGCCUUCUGAAAUACGCUCAUGUAGUUAAGCACGUCUCUGAUUAGUCGUUACAGAUGUUUUUGGUGUCUUUGAACUCUCUUUCAGAGACACAGUUACAGCCCAUUAAUAAGGUACCUGUAGGUGGGGAUGUUUUGGUUCCCUGUGUAGUGUGACAAGCUGGGGAAAGCGGCGAAGUGGCUGAAGAACUGAUUCUGCGUUACGUCUCCAUCUGUGACUAGGAACCUAACCUCACCCUCUGUUACAGAGAAGAGCAGUUCAGAGAAGGAGGCCGCACAGGGUGCCAAGGGCCCGGAAACCACCCUGCCAUGCAUCUGCCCUGCCCCUGCCCCUGCCCUGCCCUGAAGCAGGAGGGGCGGUAGGAGUGAUGGAGAUAAUGUGUGUAGAGGGUUUAGAUCUCUUCUGGGUGAGCCCAAAGCAGCGGGGCCAGCCCAGAGCUUCUUGUUAUUGUUAUGACUCUUCCUCUAACCUAUGAUUUUUUCCACAUUAUGCAAGCUUGUCAAUUACCCACCUGUGUCCUGUUCACGCCACCAUGAUUUUAUUUCUCAUUAUUGAAGUUUGUGCUUCUGAUUGAGAGAUGUUGCUGUUUUUUCCAGAUCCGUCCUGGCAGAUUAAUACCCAGCAAGAGUCCUGCUGUCAGUGGGCAUUUGAAUGGUAUGUUUAAAGCCGCCUUUGAUGGCAAGGAUGCCAAAUUAUGCGCUCCGCGACAGCUGUUUGGUGCGUCUUUGUGAGCUGCGUGAUUGAGAGCUGCAGAGCUCUGGUAUCCUCUCUGACUGUGUUCGUUUGGUGAGUGGGAUCUUAGAUACAUUAUACCUCUUGCAGUUCAUCUUCUGAAGCCAUUGAGAGAACGUUAAAAGAAAAUUAAAAAAUAAAAGAGUAUCCCUGAAAUUGUGCUCCUGGAAAGGUCACCAUUUCAAGUCAGACUCUGUUUUUGAGUAAUUCCUUAGGGUGCAGAGCCUUCUGAUGGUGCAGCUGGAGUUGAGGUGUAUGGGGUAUUAGGGGGAACGUUUUUGCCUCCCCAGGCACUCAGUUCAGUGAGAAGUCAAAUCCAGAAGAUGAAUCCAUCUGUAUGCUACCAGGGAACAAACAGCGUUGUUCUUUUUAAAAUGAAUUAAUUUAUUUUAAUCGGAGGCUAAUUACUUUACAAUCUUGUGGUGGUUUUUGCUGUACAUUGACAUAAAUCAGCCACAGGUAUACGUGUGUCUCCCAUCCUGAACCCCCCUCCCACCUCCCACCCCAUCCCUCUGGGUCAUCCCAGUGCACCAGCCCUGAGCACCCUGUCUCAUGCAUCGAACCUGGACUGGUGAUCUGUUUCACAUAUGAUAAUAUACAUGUUUCAAUGCCAUUCUCCCAAAUCGUCCCAUCCUCUCCCUCUCCCACAGAGUCCAAAAGUCUGUUCUAUACAUCUGUGUCUCUUUUGCUGUCUUGCAUACAGGGUCGUUACCAUCUUUCUAAAUUCCAUAUAUAUGUGUUAGUAUACUGUAUUGGUGUUUUUCUUUCUGGCUUACUUCACUCUGUAUAAUAGGCUCCAGUUUGAUCCACCUCAUUAGAACUGAUUCAAAUGUAUUCUUUUUAAAGGCUGAGUAAUACUCCAUUGUGUGUAUGGACCACAGCUUUCUUAUCCAUUCAUCUGCUGAUGGACAUCUAGGUUGCUUCCAUGUCCUGGCUAUUAUAAACAGUGCUCCGAUGAACAUUGGGGAACACGUGUCUCUUCCAGUUCUGGUUUCCUCGGUGUGUAUGCCCAGCAGUGGGAUUGCUGGGUCGUAUGGUAGUUCUCUUUGCAGUUUUUUAAAGGAAUCUCCACACUGUUCUCCAUAGUGGCUGAACUAGUUUGCAUUCCCACCAACAGUGUAGGAGGGUUCUCUUUCCUCCACACCCUGUCCAGCAUUUAUUGCUUGUAGACUUUUUGACGGCAGCCAUUGUGACUGGCGUGAGAUGGUACCUCGCUGUGACUUUGAUUUGCAGUUCUCUGAUAACGAGAGAGCAUCUUUUCAUGUGUUUGUUGGUCGUCUGUAUGUCUUUUCUUUAACAACUUUUAUUGGAAUACAGCUGCUUUACAGUGUUGUGUUAAUUUCAGGUGUACAGCAAAGUGAUUCAGUUGUACGUGUAUCCACCCCGUUUUGAUUCUUUUCCCAUACAGGUCGUUACAGAGUGUUGAGUAGAGUGCUCUGUGCUGGGCAGUAGGGCCUUGUUAGUUACCUGUUUUAUACAUGGUAGUACGUGUAUGUCAACCCUAAUCUCCCAGUUUACCCUGCCCCCCUUUCCCUGCUGGGAAUUGUGUUUUCUACACCUAUGACUCAGUUUCUGUUUUGUAAAUAAGUUCAUUUGUAUCAUUUUUUUUCUAGAGUCUGCAGUGACUUCCAAAUGGAGCGUGCAUGAACCCAACAUAUAUUGCCUAACAAAAGGGGAUUUCCUUAAGUCUGGUGAACAAGUGUGAUCAGUAGGCAAAUAUCCACCUUGCUCUGCCUGGCUUCUGAUGCUCAGGGCAACUCCGUUAGCCUCUGGGUCCCCAUGGUGACAUCUUAUAAGUGGCUCUAGGGCCCUUGGAUGGAAAUGCAAGCCAGUCUGUGGGUGCAGUAUAGGUUAUAGCUUUUACAUGUUUAUAUAUGUGGUAUUCAGGCUCCUAUUUAUCCUCUUGCCUGGAGUUCCACAAAAGGCAGAUGGAGGCCUGUUGGAGGAAAAGCCCACUGAAGAAGAUUCAGAUGGGACCUCUUCAGAGGUCAUUCUUCCGGCCAUAGGGCUGAGGUUUACCACCAGCCCUGUAACAAUGGGAAACUGAAGAUUUGGGUCUUGAUGCAUAUUCUUUAGAAUUUUUUAUGAAUAAUCGGUAUGUUAAACUCUUUUUUGUCCUCAACAUGAAAAACACGUCUCAAUGCUUUUUUUUUCUUGUGUAAAUUCCCAGGAUAAGUACAGGUAUUCUUAUAUUUUAUUUUUGGAUCCUGCCUGCUUGUUAAAGUUAAUAAUUUAAAUUGUAAAGUAAGAGAAACCAGAUAAUUAAGUUCAUGUCAGAAAAGUACCUCAAAAAGAUACAACAACUUUAUAUGAAAUUUUCACAGGUCUUUACUCACAGGAAUGGUGGAGAGGCCUGUCUGUGACAUUGCUUCUUUAUAAAUUAUGUGGAAACAAUUUUCAUAUCACUUUUUCUUAGAAUGACCCUCACAGAAAGUUCAAGUUCAUGAUAAUAAAGCAGAACAAAAUGAAAACAUGUUUUUAUGAAGUGCUUUCCAAAAGGCUUGCUUUCCAAAGAGUCUAGAUGAACAGCUUCAAAC